rnacentral:rRNA from 1 species
GGAUAAACGCUAGCUGUGUGCUUAAUACAUGCAUGUUGAACGGAAUAUUUUAGUUCGCUAAAAUAUUUAGUAGCAAAUGGGUGAGUAACACGUACCUAACCUACCUUUUGGACUGGGAUAACCAUUGGAAACAGUGGCUAAUACCAGAUAUGAUAAAAAUUUGCAUGAAUUUUUAUUCAAAGGAGCCUUCAAGCUUCACCAAGAAAUGGGGGUGCGCAACAUUAGUUAGUUGGUAGGGUAAAAGCCUACCAAGACGAUGAUGUUUAGCGGGGCCAAGAGGUUGUACCGCCACACUGGGAUUGAGAUACGGCCCAGACUCCUACGGGAGGCAGCAGUAAGGAAUAUUCCACAAUAAGCGAAAGCUUGAUGGAGCGACACAGCGUGCAGGAUGAAGUCUUUCGGGAUGUAAACUGCUGUUGUAAGGGAAGAAAAAACUAGAUAGGAAAUGCUCUAGUCUUGACGGUACCUUAUUAGAAAGCGACGGCAAACUAUGUGCCAGCAGCCGCGGUAAUACAUAGGUCGCAAGCGUUAUCCGGAAUUAUUGGGCGUAAAGCGUCCGUAGGUUUUUUGUUAAGUUUAAAGUUAAAUGCUAAAGCUCAACUUUAGUCCGCUUUAGAUACUGGCAAAAUAGAAUUAUGAAGAGGUUAGCGGAAUUCCUAGUGGAGUGGUGGAAUACGUAGAUAUUAGGAAGAACACCAAUAGGCGAAGGCAGCUAACUGGUCAUAUAUUGACACUAAGGGACGAAAGCGUGGGGAGCAAACAGGAUUAGAUACCCUGGUAGUCCACGCCGUAAACGAUGAUCAUUAGUUGGUGGCAAAAGUCACUAACACAGCUAACGCGUUAAAUGAUCCGCCUGAGUAGUAUGCUCGCAAGAGUGAAACUUAAAGGAAUUGACGGGAACCCGCACAAGCGGUGGAGCAUGUGGUUUAAUUUGAAGAUACGCGUAGAACCUUACCCACUCUUGACAUUCUCGCAAAACUAUAGAGAUAUAGCCGAGGCUAACGAGAUCACAGAUGGUGCAUGGUUGUCGUCAGCUCGUGUCGUGAGAUGUUAGGUUAAGUCCUGCAACGAGCGCAACCCUUUUCUUUAGUUGCUAACAUUUAGUUGAGAACCCUAAAGAUACUGCCGGCGCAAGCCGGAGGAAGGUGGGGACGACGUCAAAUCAUCAUGCCUCUUACGAGUGGGGCAACACACGUGCUACAAUGGCUACUACAAAGAGCAGCAAAACAGUGAUGUCAAGCUAAUCUCAAAAAAGUAGUCUCAGUUCGGAUUGAAGUCUGCAACUCGACUUCAUGAAGUCGGAAUCGCUAGUAAUCGCAGGUCAGCUAUACUGCGGUGAAUACGUUCUCGGGUUUUGUACACACCGCCCGUCACACCAUGGGAGUUGGUAAUGCCCAAAGUCGGUGAGUUAACUUCGGAGACCAUUGCCUAAGGCAGGACCGAUGACUGGGGUGAAGUCGUAACAAGGUAUCCCUACGAGAACGUGGGGAUGGAACACCUCCUUUCU